ACAACAAAAGGCGCAAGCACCGCACGGAGAGCAAGCAAGAAAGCAACCACCGCACUGCCACUACCUAACAAUGGCCCGCGCCUACGUGUUUCUCGUCGUGCUCCUCCUGGCCGCUGUCAUCGUGGCACCGUUCGCGGGAGCGACGCGUGUCGACGUCGUUGAGGGCAGGUCCAUGGCGUCCGCCGACGCGCCGGAGGCCGCCGCACCAUCACCCGGGCCUGACUCCGCCUCGUCACCGGACUCCUCGUCGGAUGCGCCCUCCAGCAGCAGCUCCUCGGACUAGAUAGCUAGCCGCUCGACGCACGAUCUCGCUCUCCAUCUACACGGCGAUCGAGUUCUAGCUUUGUCGGCAUGCAAUGCAAAAUUCCGAUUCUUCGGGAAUAAUCAAGCACCAAAGGAAUGUGCUUGCAUCACUCACUACUAGUACCUUGUUUUUAUAUAUGUUUCCUCUCCUGACGCUCUCCGAUUUUAAUCUUCAUGUAUGCAACAUAUGUGAUGAAUGGAAAAAUCGAUUUGUAUUUGUUAGUCAGUCAGUCUGUAUAACAACGCCGUCGGGUUUCUGAAACCAAGCAAUGUAUAUAAAUGCAACAGGAAUUACAUUCUGUAAUUAAACAACCUGUUAAAAGAGGACUUGAUGGC